rnacentral:lncRNA from 1 species
GAGUUAAUCUAGAGAAUAAAGGAAGGUAAGUCUGCUGAUUCUACCCUAGUGGCCCUCAAGAAAGAUGCAGAACAGGGAGUUUAACUCAGAAUUCUGAGUCUUUACCGAUGGUUGCUCAGAUUACAAGACAGAGUGUGUGUUCCAAGUGACAAUGAGUUAAAAAUGGACAUCAUUACAAAGGCCCAUAGCUCAAAGUUUGUCAUGCAUCCCGAAAGUACUAAGAUGUAUCAAAGUAUGCGACCCCGAUUUUGGUGGAACGAGAUGAAAAAAUAUAGCUAACUUUGUUUCUAAGUGUUUGGUAUGUCAGCAGGUCAAGGCAGAGUAUCAACGCUCAAGUGGGCUACUUCAGA